rnacentral:lncRNA from 1 species
UCCCAUUCUUCAUUUUCAAUUUUUUUUCUAAGAUUUUUGUAUCUAAAAAUUUAUGAAGUGUAUCAUUUUACCUAGAGAUGUAUAUUAGAACAUUGGAUGAAUAUUUUAUUGGAUACAUUAUAAGAAAAAAAUACUAUUAGCGAUGGCCAAUUACUAUCGCUAAUAGUUAGUUCUCCAUCGCUAAUGCUAUUAGCAAUGGACUCCGCCACUAAAAAUUUGAUGAAAAUAAUCUCGUUACUAAUUACCAUUAUUAGCAACAGUAAAUUUGUUAGAUGUAUGUCCUAGAAGCCAA